AAUGUAUUAGUUAAAUUAGAAAAUAAUUUACCUUUAAUAAAAGGAUAUAAGUUUAAAUAUCUUAAUAAUGUAUUA
rnacentral:tRNA from 1 species